rnacentral:rRNA from 1 species
AAGAAGCUUCCGGAUGAGUUGUGGGUAGGGGUGAAAGGCUAAUCAAACUGGGAGAUAGCUCGUACUCCCCGAAAUGUUUUUUGGAACAGCCUCGGUUAAGAGUGUCAUAGAGGUAGAGCUACCAAUUGGGUGAGGGGGAGUCAAAUCCUACCGAGCUCAGAUGAACUCCGAAUACUAUAGACAUGUUUACCGGGAGUGAGCCCUUGGGUGCUAAGGUCCGAGGGCGAGAGGGAAAGAACCCAGACCAUCAGCUAAGGUCUCCAAAUCUAUACUAAGUUGAACUAACGUGGUCCAAUCGCUAAGACAGCUAGGAUGUUUGCUUGGAAGCAGCCAUUCAUUUAAAGAGUGCGUAACAGCUCACUAGUCGAGCGAUCGGGCGUGGAUGAUAAACGGGCAUCAAGUAUAGUACCGAAGCUAUGGAUUUCUAGCAAUAGAAGUGGUAGGGGAGCAUUCUAACAGCUGCGAAGGUGUGUCGUAAGGCAUGCUGGAGCGGUUAGAAAAGCCAAUGUAGGCAUAAGUAACGAUAAGGCGGGUGAGAAACCCGCCCACCGAUAGACUAAGGCUUCCUGAUCAACGUUAAUCGGAUCAGGGUUAGUCGGACCCUAAGGCUAAGCGAUAAAGCAAAGUCGAUGGACAACAGUUUAAUAUUACUGUACCAAUUGUAAUCUGAUGGAGAGACGCAGAAGUGAAAGACCCGCGAACUGACGGAAUAGUUCGUUAAAGCUCGUAGAUAUAUCUUUGGUAGGCAAAUCCGCCAGAGAUGUCGAAGGUGAUAGUACUCCAAGUCUUCGGACAAGGAGAUAGUGGACCUAAUCAGGCUGUCAAGAAAAUCUUCUAAGGCUAAAUUACAAUUGACCGUACCUCAAACCGACACAGGUAGUCAAGGAGAGAAUCCUAAGGUGCUCGAGUGAUUCACGGCUAAGGAACUCGGCAAAUUAACCCUGUAACUUCGGGAAAAGGGGUGCCUGCUUCGGCAGGCCGCAGAGAAAUGGCCCAGGCGACUGUUUAUCAAAAACACAUGGCUAUGCAAAAUCGAAAGAUUACGUAUAUGGCCUGACACCUGCCCGGUGCUGGAAGGUUAAGAGGGGAUGUCAGCCGCAAGGCGAAGCAUUGAAUCGAAGCCCCAGUAAACGGCGGCCGUAACUAUAACGGUCCUAAGGUAGCGAAAUUCCUUGUCGGGUAAGUUCCGACCUGCACGAAUGGUGUAACGAUCUGGGCACUGUCUCAGCCGUGAGCUCGGUGAAAUUGUGGUAUCGGUGAAGACGCCGGUUAAUCGCAUCGGGACGGAAAGACCCCAUGCACCUUCACUAUAGCUUAGCAUUGACUUUGGGUAAAUG